rnacentral:lncRNA from 1 species
GUGAGCUCCUGGACAUGGAGAGUGAUGUCAGGAUCAAGGAGCUGCUGGUUGACUGUUACAAACCCAGUGAGGUCUUCAUCUUGGGCCUGCUGGACAGGACGGUACAUGCAGAAGCUGAGCACACCCAAGAAGCAAUAAGGGUCCCCGAUCCAGGUGAAUGUGAUUCCCACAAGACAAUCAAUCACUGUCCCCAACCUUGUAGCAACAGCAAUACCAGAGGACCCUGUGGCCAGGCCUGGUGCCAUGAGCAGAGCUCCCCAUCCC